rnacentral:lncRNA from 1 species
GGGAGUGAUAACACCAGGGGACAAUCAGGAGUUUCGUCAGCGAUGUUCUGCUAAAAAGAAACAACUGCAGUCUUGAAGCAACACAUUUGAGAGAUAGGAGAGAAAGAGAGAACGUCUUGUACCUCCCCCGACCCCUGGGCUUCUAAAUGCUUCAAGGCUGCUCCAAAUUGCAGUGGGGAGAGGCUGGCUUCGGGAGCUGUCUUCUGAAUGACAAGGAGGUCCUGCCUGCCUGAAAUGUGCUAGGACUGGACAGAAGAGAAGGUUGAGCAGGCUGACAGAUGAAGACAACCUCAUGCCUAGAAGAAUUGCAAGGGCAGACUUGAAUCUCAUGCUUCGGUCUCCUGAGCAACUCUGAAGGGCAAGUGUCUUCCGCACGAGCUAUGUCGACUGAGGAAACCCCAGUGGAGUUUCCAGGGUCCACCAUGGCACCUGCUCCUUCCUCCAAUAGAAGACAACUGAUUGUUCCUGGUCCCUUGGUCCCAUACCUUGUUGUGCUCUGGUGGGGAAUAGAUACCUAUUCCUGGAGUUUGGCAACAUUUCAUGGUGGAGAGAAAAACAUCCCAAGGAUCUGUACAUAAAUAGCUGGUGCACAUCGGUCUCAGGUGUAAACAGAAGGAAGUCCAAGGAAGCCAAGUGGGAAGAUCCUUGCUGGUUUCUCCCUCUGAGGAAGAAGGAAAAUGCCAUGACUCCCAGUAUGGCCUCUCUUGGAACCAUAUUUUGAGGUACCCUACUUCCUUCUUGAGUGUCAGCAGAGCAACUGUGGGACUGCCAUGAGAUUUGGUCAUUUCUAGGAGAGCGAAUGCCUUUUGCCUCUUUGAUGAGAAAACUAGAUGAGACAUUGUUUAGAAAUUCUUGAGCUCAGACUUUGGCAUUAUGACAACGUGUGUUCAAAUCUGCCCCAGCCACUUGCGAGCUGGGACCUAAAGCCGUGAGCUUCUGGUUGUUUAUCUAUAACAAGCGGAUCCCAGUACCUACCUCAUAGGGCUGCUGCGAGGAUUAAAAUAAAAUGCAUCUAUCAGCCAGCUUGCAGUGUCUGCACUUAGCAGGUGCUCAGGUGCAAUACCUUGAUAGUUUUGAUAGUUUGUGAUGUUUAUUCUGUUCCUCAUUAGCAUGCAUAUGUGUCUGUAUCUUGUCAAUAUAAGUCAAUAUUUUAAAAUGUGUGAGUCAGGGUUUUAA